GACGAACGCUGGCGGCGUGCUUAACACAUGCAAGUCGAACGAUGAACCCGGAGCUUGCUCCGGUGGAUUAGUGGCGAACGGGUGAGUAACACGUGAGUAACCUGCCCUUGACUCCGGGAUAACUGCGGGAAACUGUAGCUAAUACCGGAUACGACCCUCGGCGGCAUCGCCAGGGGGUGGAAAGAAUUUCGGUCAAGGAUGGACUCGCGGCGUAUCAGCUAGUUGGUGAGGUAACGGCUCACCAAGGCGACGACGGGUAGCCGGCCUGAGAGGGUGACCGGCCACACUGGGACUGAGACACGGCCCAGACUCCUACGGGAGGCAGGAGUGGGGAAUAUUGCACAAUGGGCGCAAGCCUGAUGCAGCAACGCCGCGGGAGGGAUGACGGCCUUCGGGGUGUAAACCUCUUUUAGUAGGGAAGAGGCGAGAGUGACGGUACCUGCAGAAAGAGCACCGGCUAACUACGUGCCAGCCGCCGCCGUAA
rnacentral:rRNA from 1 species